CUACGGGUCGCAGCAGUGGGGAAUCUUAGACAAUGGGCGCAAGCCUGAUCUAGCCAUGCCGCGUGAGUGACGAAGGCCUUAGGGUCGUAAAGCUCUUUCGCUGGGGAAGAUAAUGACGGUACCCAGUAAAGAAACCCCGGCUAACUCCGUGCCAGCAGGCCGCGGUAAUACGGAGGGGGUUAGCGUUGUUCGGAAUUACUGGGCGUAAAGCGCGCGUAGGCGGAUCAGAAAGUUGGGGGUGAAAUCCCGGGGCUCAACCCCGGAACUGCCUUCAAAACUCCUGGUCUUGAGUUCGAGAGAGGUGAGUGGAAUUCCGAGUGUAGAGGUGAAAUUCGUAGAUAUUCGGAGGAACACCAGUGGCGAAGGCGGCUCACUGGCUCGAUACUGACGCUGAGGUGCGAAAGCGUGGGGAGCAAACAGGAUUAGAUACCCCUGUAGUC
rnacentral:rRNA from 1 species